GGUUCCGUAGCUCAGUAGGUAGAGCAGAGGACUGAAAAUCCUCGUGUCGCCGGUUCGAUUCCUGCCGGAACCACCA
rnacentral:tRNA from 1 species